GCGAAGCCCGAGCAUCCAGGAGCAAAAACUGCGUGAGCAAUAUCGGCGCUGGUCACCCGAGCGGUGGCCCCCCACGCCCAGGCGACGGACCUUCGAACCUUGGGCGUCCAAAUCUGACGCCCAAGCCUUAUAUGAGCUUCAAUUCUCGCCCAGGCGAGCUCCCUAUGAUGCUUGGGCGUGAUUUCACUUGGAUUGGGCCCUAUUUCUGCUCUGUUUUGAUUCUUUUGGACCGGGC
rnacentral:lncRNA from 1 species